GAUGAACGCUGGCGGCGUGCCUAAUACAUGCAAGUCGAGCGAACAGACGAGGAGCUUGCUCCUCUGACGUUAGCGGCGGACGGGUGAGUAACACGUGGAUAACCUACCUAUAAGACUGGGAUAACUUCGGGAAACCGGAGCUAAUACCGGAUAAUAUGUUGAAUCGCAUGGUUCAACAGUGAAAGACGGUCUUGCUGUCACUUAUAGAUGGAUCCGCGCCGCAUUAGCUAGUUGGUAAGGUAACGGCUUACCAAGGCAACGAUGCGUAGCCGACCUGAGAGGGUGAUCGGCCAAACUGGAACUGAGACACGGUCCAGACUCCUACGGGAGGCAGCAGUAGGGAAUCUUCAGCAAUGGGCGAAAGCCUGACGGAGCAACGCAGCGUGAGUGAAGAAGGUCUUCGGAUCGUAAAACUCUGUUAUUAGGGAAGAACAAAUGUGUAAGUAACUAUGCACGUCUUGACGGUACCUAAUCAGAAAGACACGGCUAACUACGUG
rnacentral:rRNA from 1 species